rnacentral:rRNA from 1 species
AGUGAACGCUGGCGGUAGGCCUAACACAUGCAAGUCGAACGGCAGCACAGUAAGAGCUUGCUCUUACGGGUGGCGAGUGGCGGACGGGUGAGGAAUACAUCGGAAUCUACUUUUUCGUGGGGGAUAACGUAGGGAAACUUACGCUAAUACCGCAUACGACCUACGGGUGAAAGCAGGGGAUCUUCGGACCUUGCGCGAUUGAAUGAGCCGAUGUCGGAUUAGCUAGUUGGCGGGGUAAAGGCCCACCAAGGCGACGAUCCGUAGCUGGUCUGAGAGGAUGAUCAGACACACUGGAACUGAGACACGGUCCAGACUCCUACGGGAGGCAGCAGUGGGGAAUAUUGGACAAUGGGCGCAAGCCUGAUCCAGCCAUACCGCGUGGGGGAAGAAGGCCUUCGGGUUGUAAAGCCCUUUUGUUGGGAAAGAAAAGCAGCAGGUUAAUACCCCGCUGUUCUGACGGUACCCAAAGAAUAAGCACCGGCUAACUUCGUG